rnacentral:lncRNA from 1 species
UGGACCCCAGGUGAGGCCCCGGGCGUGGCCCAGGUGUGUCCAGGUGUGCCCAGGUGUGCUCAGGUGUUCCCCAGGUGUGCCCAGGUGUGUCCCCAGGUGUGUCCAGGUGUGCUCAGGUGUGUCCAGGUGUGCCCAGGUGUCCCCAGGUGUCCCCAGGUGUCCCCAGGUGUAUCCCAGGUGUGUCCAGGUGUGCCCAGGUGUGCCCAGGUGUGUCCAGGUGUAUCCAGGUGUCCCCAGGUGUCCCCAGGUGUGUCCAGGUGUGUCCAGGUGCACUCAGGUGUGUCCCAGGUGUCCCCAGGUGUGUCCAGGUGUGUCCAGGUGUCCCCAGGUGUGUCCAGGUGCACUCAGGUGUGUCCCCAGGUGUAUCCAGGUGUAUCCAGGUGUCCCCAGGUGUCCCCAGGUGUAUCCAGAUGUAUCCAGGUGUCCCCAGGUGUCCCCAGGUGUCCCCAGGUGUGUCCCCAGGUGUGCUCAGGUGUGUCCCCAGGUGUCCCCAGGUGUGUCCAGGUGUAUCCAGGUGCACUCAGGUGUGUCCUCAGGUGUGCCCAGGUGCACUCAGGUGUGUCCC